GACUUAGACUCCAUUCUAGAUUUUGCCUCUGACUGACUUUAAGCUAGUUUUCUUCAGGAGAAGGACGCAAAAUAACACUUUUCUUUUAAAGAAUUGUUAUGCUAAUCUCCGUGGGGGAACAGAUGUAAUUACUUACUAUUCUUCACAGUCCCAAACAUCUUGAAUUUGCUGUGGCUUGGAAGGCAAACAAAUCUUCACAGCCUCUCUUACUGUGAUUCCGCUGCAAAGACUCCCUUGGAGCGGGCAGAAGAGGCUACCAGUCACCUUCCUCAUGGUGGGCAGUCUUCUGUUUCCAAUGGGAAAUGCAUGGAGAAACAAAGCAGUGAAGUACCUGGAGGGCAGCCGUGCUAAGGUAAGGCAAAAACCAAGCCCUAGUCCUUCUCUCACUUUCAAGUCUUCUUAAGGGAGGAAGAGAUUUGAUAGAUUAUCCACUAAAUUUCAUUGGGACAGUCACUAGGGGCUGGAUGGGUGGAAGUCAUUUUAUAUAAGGCCAAAUCAAAGAUUUUUAAAACAAGUUAAGGAUAAAGAAAAGUAAAAGGCGGAAGAUGAUAAAUGAGAAGUAACUUGGAAUCACAUUAAAUACAGCCAUCACAGUAAAAAAAAAAAAAAAAAAAAAAAUCUAUUGAGCUCUUGCUGGGAUUGAACAGAGAUGACCAGUUUAAUAAUUCAAUGGGCCUAGAACAAUGGCCCAAACUUGUAAUCCUAGCACUUUGGGAGGCUGAGGAAGGAGGAUCACUUGAGUUCAAGAGUUCAAGACCAGCCUGGACAACAUGUCUCUACAAAUAAUUUAAAAAGUAGCCGGGCAUGGUGGUGCAUGCCUGUGGUCCCAGCUACUCAGAAGGCUGAGGCAGGAGGAUCAUGUGAGCCCAGGAGGUCAAGGAAGCAGUGAGCUGUGACUGUGCCCCUGCACUCCAGCCUGGGUGACACAGCGAUAUUCUGUCAAAAAAAAAAAAAUAAUGGAACGAUUUGUAAAAAACAAACAAACAAAAAAGCAAGUAGAAAAUAUCAGAG
rnacentral:lncRNA from 1 species